rnacentral:tRNA from 1 species
GCCGGUAUACUCAAGCGGUCAACGAGGGCAGACUGUAAAUCUGCUGACAUUUGUCUACGGGGGUUCGAGUCCCUCUGCCGGCA